rnacentral:sRNA from 2 species
AUAAAUCACCCAAGGACUACCAAAGACAAAUAAAACUGUGAAAGAUUCAGUUGAGCAAUAGUCGCAUUGGACUGACAAUUUGGAAUGGAGCAUAACAUGCAGUCUAUCUAAUUCAAAGCAUCCAACCUCAACCAGCGAAAUUCUCCCUUUACACUCAAAAUACAUCACCCUUGCUGAUUUCAGUUUGUUGCCGUAGCUGCCCGCAAUGCUACUUCGACUCUACCAUCUAAUCGCACAACCCAUCCGUCUUCUCUUUUAUCGCCUUCUCCUCCCAAUUGGCGAGCACCUCUAUAGCAAGGGGACCUACCAUGUCCCCAAUGUCCAACGGUUACCCUUUAAUCUAUAUCUCAAACAUUUCCGGCUUCUUCGUGCCCAAUAUGAAGCUCAUGCG